rnacentral:rRNA from 1 species
GACGAACGCUGGCGGCGUGCUUAACACAUGCAAGUCGAACGGAAAGGCCCUGCUUUUGUGGGGUUCUCGAGUGGCGAACGGGUGAGUAACACGUGAGUAACCUGCCCUUGACUUUGGGAUAACUUCAGGAAACUGGGGCUAAUACCGGAUAGGAGCUCCUGCUGCAUGGUGGGGGUUGGAAAGUUUCGGCGGUUGGGGAUGGACUCGCGGCUUAUCAGCUUGUUGGUGGGGUAGUGGCUUACCAAGGCUUUGACGGGUAGCCGGCCUGAGAGGGUGACCGGCCACAUUGGGACUGAGAUACGGCCCAGACUCCUACGGGAGGCAGCAGUGGGGAAUAUUGCACAAUGGGCGGAAGCCGGAUGCAGAAACGCCGCGUGCGGGAUGACGGCCUUCGAGUUGUAAACCGCUUUCGCCUGUGACGAAGCGUGAGUGACGGUAAUGGGUAAAGAAGCACCGGCUAACUACGUG